rnacentral:rRNA from 1 species
UGGGGAAUAUUGGACAAUGGGCGCAAGCCUGAUCCAGCCAUGCCGCGUGAGUGACGAAGGCCUUAGGGUUGUAAAGCUCUUUUGGCGGGGACGAUAAUGACGGUACCCGCAGAAUAAGCCCCGGCUAACUUCGUGCCAGCAGCCGCGGUAAUACGAAGGGGGCUAGCGUUGUUCGGAAUUACUGGGCGUAAAGCGCACGUAGGCGGAUAUGUAAGUCAGGGGUGAAAUCCCGGGGCUCAACCUCGGAACUGCCUUUGAUACUGCAUGUCUUGAGUCCGAGAGAGGUGAGUGGAAUUCCUAGUGUAGAGGUGAAAUUCGUAGAUAUUAGGAAGAACACCAGUGGCGAAGGCGGCUCACUGGCUCGGUACUGACGCUGAGGUGCGAAAGCGUGGGGAGCAAACAGGAUUAGAUACCCCCGUAGUCC